AUGUGAACAUAUUUACUGUCCCCAAGAGAACACUUAAAAAUACCCCAAAGACCAGGUUUGUUAAACGAAGUACAGUGAUAGGAAUGUAUUAACUUCAGAUCAUACUGAGGUUGCCUAUUCUAUCUUAGUACAGGG
ensembl:snoRNA SNORA66 Small nucleolar RNA SNORA66